UACGGGGGGGGCAAGCGUUGUUCGGAAUUACUGGGCGUAAAGGGCUUGUAGGUGGCCAACUAAGUCAGACGUGAAAUCCCUCGGCUUAACCGGGGAACUGCGUCUGAUACUGGAUGGCUUGAGUUUGGGAGAGGGAUGCGGAAUUCCAGGUGUAGCGGUGAAAUGCGUAGAUAUCUGGAGGAACACCGGUGGCGAAGGCGGCAUCCUGGACCGGCAUUGACGCUGAGGAGCGAAAGCUAGGGGAGCAAACGGG
rnacentral:rRNA from 1 species